rnacentral:rRNA from 1 species
UAACCUGCCCAUCAGAAGGGGAUAACACUUGGAAACAGGUGCUAAUACCGUAUAACAAUCGAAACCGCAUGGUUUUGAUUUGAAAGGCGCUUUCGGGUGUCGCUGAUGGAUGGACCCGCGGUGCAUUAGCUAGUUGGUGAGGUAACGGCUCACCAAGGCGACGAUGCAUAGCCGACCUGAGAGGGUGAUCGGCCACAUUGGGACUGAGACACGGCCCAAACUCCUACGGGAGGCAGCAGUAGGGAAUCUUCGGCAAUGGACGAAAGUCUGACCGAGCAACGCCGCGUGAGUGAAGAAGGUUUUCGGAUCGUAAAACUCUGUUGUUAGAGAAGAACAAGGAUGAGAGUAACUGUUCAUCCCUUGACGGUAUCUAACCAGAAAGCCACGGCUAACUACGUGCCAGCAGCCGCGGUAAUACGUAGGUGGCAAGCGUUGUCCGGAUUUAUUGGGCGUAAAGCGAGCGCAGGCGGUUUCUUAAGUCUGAUGUGAAAGCCCCCGGCUCAACCGGGGAGGGUCAUUGGAAACUGGGAGACUUGAGUGCAGAAGAGGAGAGUGGAAUUCCAUGUGUAGCGGUGAAAUGCGUAGAUAUAUGGAGGAACACCAGUGGCGAAGGCGGCUCUCUGGUCUGUAACUGACGCUGAGGCUCGAAAGCGUGGGGAGCAAACAGGAUUAGAUACCCUGGUAGUCCACGCCGUAAACGAUGAGUGCUAAGUGUUGGAGGGUUUCCGCCCUUCAGUGCUGCAGCUAACGCAUUAAGCACUCCGCCUGGGGAGUACGACCGCAAGGUUGAAACUCAAAGGAAUUGACGGGGGCCCGCACAAGCGGUGGAGCAUGUGGUUUAAUUCGAAGCAACGCGAAGAACCUUACCAGGUCUUGACAUCCUUUGACCACUCUAGAGAUAGAGCUUCCCCUUCGGGGGCAAAGUGACAGGUGGUGCAUGGUUGUCGUCAGCUCGUGUCGUGAGAUGUUGGGUUAAGUCCCGCAACGAGCGCAACCCUUAUUGUUAGUUGCCAUCAUUUAGUUGGGCACUCUAGCAAGACUGCCGGUGACAAACCGGAGGAAGGUGGGGAUGACGUCAAAUCAUCAUGCCCCUUAUGACCUGGGCUACACACGUGCUACAAUGGGAAGUACAACGAGUCGCAAAGUCGCGAGGCUAAGCUAAUCUCUUAAAGCUUCUCUCAGUUCGGAUUGUAGGCUGCAACUCGCCUACAUGAAGCCGGAAUCGCUAGUAAUCGCGGAUCAGCACGCCGCGGUGAAUACGUUCCCGGGCCUUGUACACACCG